rnacentral:rRNA from 1 species
ACGACGCUGGCGGCGUGCUUAACACAUGCAAGUCGAACGGUGACGAGGAGCUUGCUCCUCUGAUCAGUGGCGAACGGGUGAGUAACACGUGAGCAACCUCGCCCCAGACUCUGGGAUAACAGUUGGAAACAGCUGCUAAUACCGGAUACGAGACGGAGAGGCAUCUCUACCGUCUGGAAAGUUUUCGGUCUGGGAUGGACUCGCGGCCUAUCAGCUAGUUGGUGAGGUAAUGGCUCACCAAGGCGACGACGGGUAGCCGGCCUGAGAGGGCGACCGGCCACACUGGGACUGAGACACGGUCCAGACUCCUACGGGAGGCAGCAGUGAGGAAUCUUGCGCAAGUGGGGGAAACCCUGACGCAGCAACGCCGCGUGAGUGAGGAAGGCCUUCGGGUCGUAAAGCUCUGUCAGAGUGGGAAAGAAAUGGAGUGGGGGCUAAUAUCGCCCAUCCUUGACGGUACCAUCAGAGGAAGCACCGGCUAACUCCGUG